UUUAUGGAGAGUUUGAUCCUGGCUCAGGAUGAACGCUGGCGGCGUGCCUAAUACAUGCAAGUCGAGCGAACGGACGAGAAGCUUGCUUCUCUGAUGUUAGCGGCGGA
rnacentral:rRNA from 1 species